AUUGAACGCUGGCGGCAGGCUUAACACAUGCAAGUCGAACGGUAACAGGCCGCAAGGUGCUGACGAGUGGCGAACGGGUGCGUAAUGCAUCGGAACGUGCCCAGUCGUGGGGGCUAACUACUCGAAAGAGUAGCUAAUACCGCAUACGAUCUAUGAAUGAAAGCGGGGGACCGCAAGGCCUCGCGCGAUUGGAGCGGCCGAUGUCAGAUUAGGUAGUGGGUGGGGUAAAGGCUCACGAAGCCAACGAUCUGUAGCUGGUCUGAGAGGACGAGCAGCCACACUGGGACUGAGACACGGCCCAGACUCCUACGGGAGGCAGCAGUGGGGAAUUUUGGACAAUGGGCGCAAGCCUGAUCCAGCAAUGCCGCGUGCAGGAAGAAGGCCUUCGGGUUGUAAAGUGCUUUUGUACGGAACGAAACGGCUCUGGUUAAUACCCGGGGCUAAUGACGGUACCGUAAGAAUAAGCACCGGCUAACUACGUG
rnacentral:rRNA from 1 species